UUUUUUAAGCCCAUAAGCCAAUCCUAACCUGUUCAAGAAAGUAUAAUAGAUGACCUUUACUAUGUGAGCUCUUCAAACUGCCUCUUUCAGCUACUUCCUGUGUUAUGAGGACAUCCUCAACACACAUGCUGACCCAGACUCAGAGAACGAAGACGCCUCCAACGAUAACGUGGUGAGGAUGUGGUCCAUCGGUCAGUGGGUGCAGGUGAAGCCAGAACGGACUACAGAUGACAUAUACGACUGGAUCUUGUGCGAAGUCCCCGAGGCCAGCUAUCGCAGGCUGCUGUUCCUGGGCCGCAACGAGCCGUCCAGCUGCACGGCGACGGACUAUCUGCAGCAGCUGCUGCUGACGUGCCACGCUGACUGAGCUCUGGCCUGCAGGAGGAGCGCACACACACACGUUAGUUAAUGCACGGCAGCAGCUGCUGCUGCUGCCUGGAGAAAACCUGGAGUGUCAGGAUGUAGCUUUGAAGCCAUCAGGCUAAACUGAUACUCGGUUCUGAUCAGAAGUUUCAUCUGAAUAGCAUGACAAUUUUGGGCUUGGAAAUAAAGAUUUGAAAGGAU